GGGGGGCUCGUCUAACUUGCGGUGAGGACGGCCGACUUAUAAUCGGUUAAUACGGGUUCAAUCCCCGUACCCUCCA
rnacentral:tRNA from 1 species